AACGAACGCUGGCGGCAUGCCUAACACAUGCAAGUCGAACGAGACCUUCGGGUCUAGUGGCGCACGGGUGCGUAACGCGUGGGAACCUGCCCUUAGGUUCGGAAUAACUCCCCGAAAGGGGUGCUAAUACCGGAUAAUGUCUUCGGACCAAAGAUUUAUCGCCUUUGGAUGGGCACGCGUUGGAUUAGCUAGUUGGUAGGGUAAAAGCCUACUAAGGCGACGAUCCAUAGCUGGUCUGAGAGGAUGAUCAGCCACACUGGGACUGAGACACGGCCCAGACUCCUACGGGAGGCAGCAGUGGGGAAUAUUGGACAAUGGGCGAAAGCCUGAUCCAGCAAUGCCGCGUGAGUGAUGAAGGCCUUAGGGUUGUAAAGCUCUUUUACCCGGGAUGAUAAUGACAGUACCGGGAGAAUAAGCUCCGGCUAACUCCGUG
rnacentral:rRNA from 1 species